AACGAACGCUGGCGGCAUGCCUAACACAUGCAAGUCGAACGAGACCUUCGGGUCUAGUGGCGCACGGGUGCGUAACGCGUGGGAACCUGCCCUUAGGUUCGGAAUAACUCCCCGAAAGGGGUGCUAAUACCGGAUAAUGUCUUCGGACCAAAGAUUUAUCGCCUUUGGAUGGGCCCGCGUUGGAUUAGCUAGUUGGUAGGGUAAAAGCCUACCAAGGCGACGAUCCAUAGCUGGUCUGAGAGGAUGAUCAGCCACACUGGGACUGGGACACGGCCCAGACUCCUACGGGAGGCAGCAGUGGGGAAUAUUGGACAAUGGGCGAAAGCCUGAUCCAGCAAUGCCGCGUGAGUGAUGAAGUCCUUAGGGUUGUAAAGCUCUUUUACCCGGGAUGAUAAUGACAGUACCGGGAGAAUAAGCUCCGGCUAACUCCGUG
rnacentral:rRNA from 1 species